CACCUGUGCAGCAGGUGCACCAGUGCAAUGCGAUGCCAGGCUCUGGUUCAAGCCCAGGCCUUGGUGACCAGUGAGCUGGAAAGGCUCCAGGACCGGCUGGCCUGGUGCAGCAGUGACAAAGUCAGACACCGUGGAUUCAGGGCGUAGAGAGCUGCAGGUGAAGUGACGGCUGGCAGCUGUGCCCAGUGUGUGGAUGACCACACGCACCUCAUCCCAGCAAUGACCAAGGAGAUGAAGGCGUCCGACUCUGUUCUCCACGGGAAGUAGAGCUGAUUGCCAGUGGCCAUGGGGCUACUGGAGGCCAUUUAAAAGGAAGAAUGAACAUUUAGUCUGUUAAACAGAGUUUAUCAAUGUGGAAAACGGGACACACAAGUUCCAGGCAAAUGGCGCUAACCUCUGACACAGUUGCUUUGCAUCUGGAUCUUGGAAGUGGCACAAAGUGGAUUUAAGACACAGAGCAAUUUGAAAAACUUCUCAAGGUUGUAUUUUCUGGCCAUAAAGAUGGGAAAGUUCAUUUCUUCAAAUUUUGUUAUUCUGGAAGCCCCUGAAGAAACAGGGCAGUGUUGUUCUGCGUGGAGAAGUUUCCUUCACUGAUUUCUGCAGCAAGAUCCAGAUGCAUAACUGUCAGCUGCUUCUCCAGCACUGUGUCUCCUGUGUCUCCCCAUGAUCCCUGUCAGGAUAAAGACGGCCCAAACCCUUGAAACUGUAAGCAGAUCCCAACUGAAUAUUUCCUUCUAUGAGUUGCUGUGGUCAUGGUGCCCUUUCAUAGCAACAGAACACUGACAAAGACAUCAUAGGGGUUGUGUAUUUUGUAUUCUGUAGCAAUGCAAAAGUAACUUAAUAGCUCUAUUAUCGUCUUUGACAUUGGAUUUUGUGAGUUUGCAUCUGGGUAAGACACCAUGUAUGUGUACAUCUGUACAUGUUUGAAGGUAAUCAUGUCACCUAUGACAUACUUUAAUUUUUUUGUUCCCAAAAGGAAGUCUUUUGUUUCUUUUUCUUACCGACUGCAACAGACAGAACAAUGUGAAACACGCGUAAACAGAAAGGAAACCCUUGUCUUCUACACUAUCUGAGGGAAAAAGUAUCUGGUUCUACCAUUAUAUUGAAAAUGUUACCCAUUUGUGUUUUUCAUCGGAACUUUUUACCAGCUUGAGAAAUGAUAGUUCUAGUCUUACUUUAUAAAGAACUUCCAUCAGGAAUGAAUUUUGGAUUCUGUCCAGCGUUUUCUUGAAUGAGUUAGA